UACGGGGGGGGCAAGCGUUGUUCGGAAUUACUGGGCGUAAAGGGCUCGUAGGUGGCCAACUAAGUCAGACGUGAAAUCCCCAGGCUCAACUUGGGAACUGCGUCUGAUACUGGAUGGCUUGAAUACUGGAGAGGGUCGCGGAAUUCCCGGUGUAGAGGUGAAAUGCGCAGAUAUCGGGAGGAACACCAAUGGCGAAGGCGGGUCUCUGGGCCGAUACUGACGCUGAGGAGCGAAAGCGUGGGGAGCGAACAGG
rnacentral:rRNA from 1 species